AAAAAAAGAGAGCGUGAGACACAAAAAGACAGAGAGAGAAGCAGUGGGAGGAUGGAAAGAACUGAAAGUUUUUGUGGUGGAAUCUAAAAGGGCUUCAGAAGAGAGAAGCUGAACCCAGUAAACUGGCAGAGCUGUUCAUCGAAUCAAAUUGAAGCCUUAGUGCUCUCAGUUUCUCCAGAUUGUCCCGUAUCCACCUCCUUCCUCAGGACGAGUCUUGCCCGACCAGCCAUUUCAUCAAAUCACCACCAGCUUCAGCUUCAACUUCAUCACCCAAAGGGGGAUGAUCGAUGGCGCUCUUUCACCGCAGACACUUUUAGAGGGUCGAUAGACUGAGUGGAGGAGUGGAGAGAGGCAGAGAGAGAGAGCUGGAACGAGUGAGAGAGAGUGCUGGUUUCUGCCGCGUGAACUGUUCUUCAUUAGUCUGCACGAAAACACACUCGUAUAGACGAGAAGAGGAGGAGUAAUGGAAAGAGGACGAAGGGAAAUACAGCGAGGAGGAAUAUUCGAGAGUCAUCUUCCGAGCUGCUUUUGAAGCCCAGAGGGGUAAAUAAUCAAAAUGUGUGCUUCAUUAAUGCAGCCUAAUGGUUUUACGCCACUGCACAUGAAUGCAUAUAUACAGAACCCACAAACACAGCACUGAUGAUGGAAAGUGAGCAUCACUUUUCUCUGUUGACUCCAGUAGGGCACUUGAAGUGAGAACUAUGAAGGGCCUUGUGUUCUUGUAUGUGGGCCUCUAGAACACGUAAAGAUAUUCUGUACUGUUGCUUUUUUGAUAGGUAAAUUAAUGCGUAAAUUAGGGCUAGGCAAUUAUUUGAAAUCGACAUUUAGAACCUAA
rnacentral:lncRNA from 1 species